rnacentral:rRNA from 1 species
GCGUAGGUGAUGGACAACAGGUUGAUAUUCCUGUACUACAGAUAACCGUAUGAGAGAAGGGAUGACACAGUAGGAUAAGCUAAGCACACUGUUGGUUAUGUGUGCCCAAGCAUUGAGGCAGUCAAAGUAGGCAAAUCCGCUUUGAUAAUGAUGGGAUGUGAUGGGGAGCGAAAUUUAGUAGCGAAGUAGCUGAUAUCACACUGUCACAAAAAGUCUCUAUCGAGGUUAAAGGUACCCGUACCGCAAACCGACACAGGUGGGUGAGGAGAGUAUCCUAAGGCCAGCGAGAGAACUGUUGUUAAGGAACGCGGCAAAAUGACCCCGUAACUUAGGGAUAAGGGGUGCCACCAUCAGGUGGCCGCAGAGAAUAGGCCCAAGCGACUGUUUACCAAAAACAUAGGUUUCUGCUAAGUCGCAAGACGAUGUAUAGGAGCUGUCGUCUGCCCGGUGUUGGAAGGUUAAGGGGAUCUGUUAGAGCAA